GCUGGGGUUCCUGGGUUUGUAGAUCCCUGCUUUAAUCUUUACAUGUUAUUUGUCCUGUGUGCAUGUCUGUGUCCAGAUUUCCUCUUAGAAUAGGUAUAACAGUCAUAUAGGAUUAUGGGACUACAAUAUGGCCUCAUCUUAACUAAUUAUAUCUCAAAGACCCUAUUUCUAAGUUCACAGUAUGAGGUACUAAUGGUUAGCACUUCAAUGGAUGAGUUUUGGGGGGACACAGUUCCACCCAUAGCAUAUAUGUUAUACAUAUAUGGCAUUAUUUUUUUAAUAUUUAUUUUUUAGUUUAGGUGGACACAAUACCUUUAUUUUAAUUCUAUGUGGUGCUGAGGAUCAAACACAGUGCCUCAUGCAUGCUACCUGAAUACUCUACCACUGAGUCACAACCCCAGCCCCAUAUAUGGCAUUAUUUAUAGAUAAGGAAACUCAGGCUCAAAUAUGUCAAGUGACUUGUAUAAAGUCACAUGGUCAGUCACUGACAGACCAUCUGCAUCUGAUACUUGAACUCAUGCCCUAAAUACCUGCACCAGCCUUUCCCAUAGUAUGAGAAAUAUUCCGUGGAUGGAUGGAUAGCAGAUGAUUUUAACUGUCAUAAGGACAAUAAUUACACAUCCUAAUAUGCAUCAGAAAAUAAACUAGCACAUCAAAUUCAUAAUUUCAUGGAUAAAUUUGUUUAGGAAGAAGCUGAGGGUGCAAAGUUGAAUUUAUUUGAAGAAAACAUGAAGUGACUAAUGAGACAGGUGGCAUGUGAAUAUGGAAAAAGCCGUAAAGGUUGUUUGACAGAGGUCUGAGAAAUAAUAGCUGCAUACUGGGUAGCAGUGCUUUACCUCACCCAGACUACAGGGAACUGACAUCUGAGAUUAGUUUAAAGCAGGUAAGGAUGACAGUAUGGAAUGUACCUGACCAGUGAUUAACAGAAUAUUUCUAGACCCCAGUAGGUCUUUGGAAUCCACUAAAGAGGCUGAGUUAAAGAUCAGGGUAGGUGUUAAGCCAUGCCUAAGUAAGCAAAGGUACUUUCCUCCAUGGGUAGAUUGAACACUAUCUUACCUUUAAUAUUAAUGUAACUGUCUCCGUUCUGAUGCUUCUUUUCCUUGCAGUUGCUCUUAAAAGGCAGUUAGAGUGUUGAUAAGGCUCUGAGCUCGCCUUUGUGUUUACAAUAUGUCGGGUUGGCAAAUGAAACUCAUUUUCAUCAAGUACGAUUUUAUUUCACUAAAGGUGCCGGUACUGGCAAGUUGUAAAUGUUUUAUGGUAAAAUUAAGAGUUUCUAAACACAUUUUACUCCUUGUGUCUCAUUAUUUCAUCCCCUAAUAAGUUUCGAUCAUUUUAGCACCUGUUUAAAUUAAAAUCCCUGAGGAAAACAGUGAGGGCAGGCAGCAAUUAAUAUGUUCUAAAGAUGCUAAAAUUGCUUAGAAAUGUGGCUCAUAAUGAACUCAGACACUGGUGUUUUACGAAUGCAACAUUAUAGUGCCUCAUGUCAGCUCUAAAAUCCACCCACACUUUUGCUUCAUGAAUCACUGAGUGAACUAGUUUGAAGCUUCUUUCUCUAGGGAGAAAAGCAAUCUUUUGACUCGAGUAUAAGUAGGUGAUGUGUGGGUCAUUUGUGAGGAGUGUCCUUGUGUGUUUACAUCCCUAGAGAUCCUUGGUGCCCUGCUGUCUAUCCUUUGCAUCUGGGUGGUGACUGGUGUGCUGGUGUACCUAGCCUGUGAGCGCCUGCUGUACACUGACUACCAGAUCCAGGCGACCGUGAUGAUCGUCGUUUCGGGCUGCGCAGUUGUGGCCAAUAUUAUGUAAGUUGCCCCCAUGCAAAGAGCCCAUAUGGUUUAACAUCAACCCUGUCUAAUUGAGGACUCUUUUGGAAACUCAUCUACUUGUGAAGAUGAUAACAGAUUUGACACAGUGUUCCAGUGGCUCCAAAAGUGACAUUAAGGCUAUAGACUAAAGAGAUUUUAAAUAUUGGCUUCUAUGACCUACCCAUUUCAGUAUCUCAGUUCAUGAACUAUUGUUCCGUCUCAGAGAUAAAUGAUCAACAGAAUAAUGUUCAAUCUGCCAUCACUAGCUAGAUCCUCUCUCUUACCAGUUAACCUGAAACUGCAUUUCACAUUGGCACUGGAAGAAAGAGUGUGGGCAGAUCAAUGCAAAUCUAUCAUUUUGAGGAGAUAAAUGCUCUAGAGCACAUGUACUGCUGACUGGGGGUCAAUAACAUCAUCUUUGCAUAAGGAGAACAAUAUGUCCUCAAGGCAGCAGGAAGAAUGAAAGUAUUAAUAAUUUCCCGAGAGUCAUAUGUCACAUAGGUUGUGUCAAUGCUACACAAAGAUGAAGGAUAUCCCUAGCCAACUGCCACAUCAAUCUGGGACUUUAAUGAUGGAGUUCGACUUUCAAAAUAGAUACCAUCCAAGUUUUCUUUUUACUGCGACUGCUUUUGAACAUUGACCUUAACCUUGCAAGUACUUUUCAUUCUUAGAAAGACAAGGGAAUUGAAAAGCCCUGCCUUCCUUGUGCAAACAGAUAGUUAUUUAUGGAUAAACGUGCUGAGUGACUGUAAUGUUUUCUCUAAGAACUGAGAUUGCAGGUUGCAAAUUCUGCAAGACGUUGUAGUGAUUGAAUAAGAAGAAAUCAGAAUUGCAAUUUGCAAAUAAAUUUGGAAUAAAUCUAUUCCUUGGGGACCAAAAUCCAGACAGAAAAUUCUAGUAGAAGUGGUGAAGGGGUUCUGUGAUGAAGGGUGUAGACAGAGCUUUAAGGCUAUUGCAGGCUAUUUUUUUUCUGCCUAAAAUAUUCCCUCCUUUCAUAACCUUUUAAAUUCAGCUCACUUGCUAUAUCUCUCUAAGUCAGGCUCCUCUGUUGGCAUUAUCCAUAGCAGAAAUUCUUAGUAACCAUAUUAUAAUUAGAAAUUUCCAUUUGUGUUAGUUUGUGUGUGCAGGCGCACGUGCGUGCGUGCACACGCACACGUGUGUGUGUGCGUGUGCGUAAAAUCUUUGAUGUCUCUAACACAGUUAAAGCUGCACUAGGGAGGGAAUGCAUAUAUUUUUAUUCACUAUAUAACUGAAGUAUUUAAUAGCACUUGGUGCACGAGUUCUUAAGAAAGUUUUACCUUUUUAAAUAAAACAAGUAAAAGGGUGAAUGACACUGUGAUGAUCAUAUAUGGCAAAUCUGUAAGAGUGUCUGUUAACUGCCAGUCACAUUGGGCUAUCUAACUUUGAAUUGUAACUCAUAGCUAAGGUGUUUCUAUACAAACACAAAAAUCUGAAAACUGUGCCUUCUGUAAUGAUCACAUUUUGGCACAUAGCAGUCAUUCCACCUUGUGGUGAUGGCUUAAGACUUAACAAACACUUUUACCUGCAAAAAGACUAUAUAUAUAUAUAUAUAUAUAUAUAUAUAUAUAUAUAUAUAUAUAUAUAUAUAUAUGGUGUCCCAAGCAAUAAGAGGUCUUUAAAAAGUCUUUAUUCCAAAAUGUUCAAAAAGGGUAUUUGGCAAAACAUUCCUUGUUGACCAUCAGUGAAACAAUUCUCCUUUUAUAUCUAGUAUAAACUUUGUGAAUGUUAUAGAUAAAUAGAAUCAGUUGCAUAAUUUUUAGUGACUACUACUUUAUCACCUUGACUUGGACAAGAGAUGCUACACUUUGCAAUACGUUGUAUAUGUAUGUGCGUGUGCACGCGUGAUGUACAUAAGCAAGUACUUUUACAAUAUAUUAAUGUAUCUUUGCUUCUAGAUAAAUAACUAUAUAUACAUACACAAAACACUAUCACCAUAUGCCAUUAAGAAAUUAUUCAAAUUUUAAAUGCUCAUAGAAAUGAACAAAAUUAAGUAAAAUAAAAGUUUAAAAAAACAUCCCAUGAUGAGAUUCAUUCACUAUUAUUUUGUUUUUUUUCUCUUUCCAUUGCUUUUUGCAUUUGAAACCAGUAUAUUAAAUCAAGCUCUCCCAAGCUCAGCUUUAAGUAUAAAUCAGUGGCUGACAUUUAGUAGAUGAAUGAAAUUUUUCCUUUUUAUUGUAAAAUGUUUGGUUUUUAUCAAAGAAAUGUUGCUUUCCCAUUUUAAUGUGAAAGAGAAUAACAUUAUGUGGAUGAAUGAGAAAACUAAGGUAAAUUUUUAUAGUUUGUCCUUGUGUGAAAAAUUUAAAACUCUGUGAUACACCUGUAUUCAAACAUAACUCCAAAAUGAUACAUUGUAAAGCAUACUUUUUUUAAACUACCUGCCAUUUUGAAUAAUGCGUGCUAUUGUCAGCUCCUUUGUUCUGCUGCCUAGGUUUGUAAGGGCUAAUCUCACAUGUGCCAAGAACAUUGUUGUCUUUCAGACUAGCUGUGGUUUUGCACCAGAGACACCUUGUCCACAAUCACAAUGAAGUACAAGCUAAUGCCAGUGUCAGAGCAGCUUUUGUGCAUGCCCUUGGAGAUGUAUUUCAGAGCAUCAGUGUGUUAAUCAGUGCUCUUAUUAUCUACUUUAAGGU
rnacentral:lncRNA from 1 species